UACGGAGGGUGCGAGCGUUAAUCGGAAUUACUGGGCGUAAAGGGCGCGUAGGCGGCCGAUCAAGUCGGGGGUGAAAGCCUGUGGCUCAACCACAGAAUUGCCUUCGAUACUGGUUGGCUUGAGACCGGAAGAGGUAAGUGGAACUGCGAGUGUAGAGGUGAAAUUCGUAGAUAUUCGCAAGAACACCAGUGGCGAAGGCGGCUUACUGGUCCGGUUCUGACGCUGAGGCGCGAAAGCGUGGGGAGCAAACAGG
rnacentral:rRNA from 1 species